GUGGACUUUUAUGUGUCUUUGCUCUUCAAAGUGGGAGUGAAUAGCAUGUUUCUGCUGCAAUUUUGCUUCCUUCAGCCCCAAACACUCUGGGAAAACCAUUAGAGAAUCCACACAAAUUUACCCCAUGAGCUGCUGUCUCCCCAGGUCAGGGGCACCACAGACACCUGCUGGCAUCAGAGAGAGAGGUUUCUUCCUUUCAGAUCACCCAGUACUGUUCCUUAGGCCUGGUGUCCAUCAGGCAGGAAGCCCAAG
rnacentral:lncRNA from 1 species